GAUGAAGAACGCAGCGAAAUGCGAUAAGUAGUGUGAAUUGCAGAAUUCAGUGAAUCAUCGAAUCUUUGAACGCACAUUGCGCCCCUUGGUAUUCCAUAGGGCAUGCCUGUUCGAGCGUCAUUUGUACCCUCAAGCUUUGCUUGGUGUUGGGCGUCUUGUCGUAUUACGACUCGCCUUAAAUACAUUGGCAGCCGGCACUUUGGCCUAGGAGCGCAGCACAUUUUGCGAUCGUAGCCCGUUGUACUGGCGUCCAUCAAGAACAUUUACCACGUUUGACCUCGGAUCAGGUAGGGAUACCCGCUGAACUUAAGCAUAUCAAUAAGCGGAGGA
rnacentral:misc_RNA from 1 species